rnacentral:rRNA from 1 species
AGUGAACGCUGGCGGUAGGCCUAACACAUGCAAGUCGAACGGCAGCACAGUAAGAGCUUGCUCUUACGGGUGGCGAGUGGCGGACGGGUGAGGAAUACAUCGGAAUCUACUUUUUCGUGGGGGAUAACGUAGGGAAACUUACGCUAAUACCGCAUACGACCUACGGGUGAAAGCAGGGGAUCUUCGGACCUUGCGCGAUUGAAUGAGCCGAUGUCGGAUUAGCUAGUUGGCGGGGUAAAGGCCCACCAAGGCGACAAUCCGUAGCUGGUCUGAGAGGAUGAUCAGCCACACUGGAGCUGAGACACGGUCCAGACUCCUACGGGAGGCAGCAGUGGGGAAUAUUGGACAAUGGGCGCAAGCCUGAUCCAGCCAUACCGCGUGGGUGAAGAAGGCCUUCGGGUUGUAAAGCCCUUUUGUUGGGAAAGAAAAGCAGCAGGUUAAUACCCCGCUGUUCUGACGGUACCCAAAGAAUAAGCACCGGCUAACUUCGU